CCAAGGAGGAAGGCUUCUGGAAUCAGACGAGGCCAGUUUCAAUCCACUGCCUUCGGAUCUUGCCUGUGAGGGAAGCCACUUCAUACCCGCAUUACAAAGAAGAAGACUGAGGCUCUGCUGCCUUCUUGCCCUUGAGAUGGGAUUGACAUCACUACCCCCCUCAUCAAGUCUCCUGAGUCACUAGCUCUGGGAGCUAUGCGGAGGAGCACCCACGAGUGAAACUAUCAACCUUGGAUGCAGGC